rnacentral:rRNA from 1 species
CUACGGAGGGUGCAAGCGUUACUCGGAAUCACUGGGCGUAAAGCGCGCGCAGGCGGCUAUUUAAGUUGGAUGUGAAAGCCUACGGCUCAACCGUAGAACUGCAUCCAAAACUAUUUAGCUAGAGUGUGGGAGAGGAAGAUGGAAUUAGUUGUGUAGGGGUAAAAUCCGUAGAGAUAACUAGGAAUACCAAAAGCGAAGGCAAUCUUCUGGAACACUACUGACGCUGAGGCGCGAAAGCGUGGGGAGCAAACAGGAUUAGAAACCCUAGUAGUCC